rnacentral:misc_RNA from 1 species
GAAAUGCGAUAAGUAAUGUGAAUUGCAGAAUUCAGUGAAUCAUCGAAUCUUUUAACGCACAUUGCGCCCGCCAGUAUUCUGGCGGGCAUGCCUGUUCGAGCGUCAUUUCAACCAUCAAGCCCCCGGCUUGUGUUGGGGACCUGCGGCUGCCCGCAGGCCCUGAAAAACAGUGGCGGGCUCGCUGUCACACCGAGCGUAGUAGCAUACAUUCUCGCUCAGGGCGUGCUGCGGGUUCCGGCCGUUAAACGACCUUCAUAACCCAAGGUUGACCUCGGAUCAGGUAGGAAGACCCGCUGAACUUAAGC